GCCGACUUGGCGCAAUUGGUAGCGCACCAUACUUGUAAUAUGGGGGUUACGGGUUCGAGUCCCGUAGUCGGCU
rnacentral:tRNA from 2 species